rnacentral:rRNA from 1 species
GACGAACGCUGGCGGCGUGCUUAACACAUGCAAGUCGAACGGAAAGGCCCUGCUUUUGUGGGGUGCUCGAGUGGCGAACGGGUGAGUAACACGUGAGUAACCUGCCCUUGACUUUGGGAUAACUUCAGGAAACUGGGGCUAAUACCGGAUAGGAGCUCCUGCUGCAUGGUGGGGGUUGGAAAGUUUCGGCGGUUGGGGAUGGACUCGCGGCUUAUCAGCUUGUUGGUGGGGUAGUGGCUUACCAAGGCUUUGACGGGUAGCCGGCCUGGGAGGGUGACCGGCCACAUUGGGACUGGGGUACGGCCCAGACUCCUACGGGAGGCAGCAGUGGGGAUUAUUGCGCGCUGGGCGGAAGGCUGAUGCAGCAUCGCCGCGUGCGGGAUGACGGCCUUCGGGUUGUAACCCGCUUUCGCCUGUGACGAAGCGUGAGUGACGGUAAUGGGUAAAGAAGCACCGGCUAACUACGUG